rnacentral:misc_RNA from 1 species
UAACUCUACGGAUUAUUUCUUAGUUGUUGUAGUCGCAGGUGCGUGGUGACGACUCAUAUUAGAGUCAAAAGACACACAAACGCAAAAAAGGGAAGGAGCACCGACUUGUCUAUGCAUGUCUGCGUAUCGGUGGGGUAGGAGUGCGCCAGUAAUAUCCGCCACAUACAAACACACGAACAUACAUAGACGCACACUGAAAAGUAGGUGCGUGCAAAUACUCUCAAUACGAUAGUAGCGCGCCCGGCAGAGGCAGCGACGCUAGACUGAUCGUUGAGAAAGAGAAACAGAAGACUCACCACCUACACGUGUGAGUCGUUCCACGGUCAGCGUGGCUAUAUCUAUUUAAUAUAGUUCGUGGGCGAAGUGCGUGGAGUGGGGAAGGGCUUUGUUCCGUAGUUGUGGCGCUGCUGUCGUCUCAACUUCAAAAGUCUCAAAGCUCUGCAGGUACGGAAGCCGGCAUUGUGCGCGCGCGUGCUUGCGUGCGUCUUUUCUGCUUGCUGUUGUUUUCAGACCCGGUGAGGGCGCUAGCGGCUGCGUCUUGGCUCUCCCUCUCCAGCUGCUCUGGGUGUUGGCCACUUUCCUUCUUCACCCCACCCCACGCCCUGCCCCAUCCGUUUCGUCUUGUUUGUCGCUUGUUUUCUUCUUACGUAUCUCUCCAUCUAUUUUUUUUUCGUGUAUGUGUGUGUGUGGGGGGGGGGGUAUCUCGUCUUUUAACGUGGCUCCAUCGGAUAACGUUCUGUUCCGUGCAAUCUCAGCCUCUCAGCAUCUCUAUUCCCUCCCGUUUUCUGCGAAUCUGCGCCGGCGUCAUCUCUGCCGUUACAGUGGAAGGCAGCUGUGUGGCGGCGCUAGCGGCCACUGAUUGCUGUGAGACAUGUUUGGAGUUUCCGACAAGGCGCCGCAGCCAGCGCAGGCCAGCGCUGCUACAUCACUUGGCUUUGCGGGCGCUGAGGCAUCAGCCCUAGCUGCAGCUAGCGGCAACACAGGAACGGUGGUGACGGCGGCUCGACCGUCGGGAAUAUCUAGUGCGCCGUCAGGACCCCUUCUGCGGCCACAGCCAGUGACGAGCAGCUCACCGCCAGUGUCAGGCGGGUUCGGAGUCGGGAAGCCAUCUGUCGCUGCUGGAGGUCCCGGUAAUGCUUCAGCUGCGGCCGCGCCUGCGUCAGCGCCGACAACCACGGCGCCACCGGCUAUCCCACCGUAUAUGGCGCUCCUCGCUAAGGUCUGCAGAGACGGAGUGGUCAGCGAUGCCUUCACCCACGAGAUCAAGGAGCGCUUCAGCGCUCCAAUGGAGGUGACCGUAGCACCGCCGGCUGCCGCACUGGGCCCCGCAACAGCGCCAGCUAUAGUGCCUCAGGCAAUUACAACAGCUCUGCAAACAGGCGCGCAGUGGCAGGCGACCGUGGCGCCGCAAUCCACGCUCGCUGGCGUUUCCAUCAUUAGCGCUGCCCCAGCUGCGGCGGCCAGCGCGGCCUACUCGACCUUGGCGCGCGCAGGCGAGCCCAAGCAGCAGCAAGAGCGACGGCGUCUGCAGGUGGAGCAAGCCUCAGAGUUCCUGCAGACGCUGCUGCUGUGCGACAGCGGCUACAACAAUAGCGAAGCCCCUCCGGUGGGCAACCCAGCCUCGUCACAGUGGACAGAGAGCGUGGAGGAGGUGAAGGGCUUGCACGCGGCGGUGGCGGCGGUGGCGGUGUCUGCCGCAAGCAAUCUCAUCUCCUUCCUAAAAACGAGCAUCACGGCGAACAGCCAGGCCAGCGAUAGCGAGGCAUCGUCGUCCAGUCUCUUCAUUGACAACCGGCGUAAGCGGUCAGACAAGAGUCUGCUGCUGCUCGCCGCGCAGUGCCUGUACGUCUUGUCGCGUCACUUUCAGUUGACGACGAGUGUGGUGAAGGAGGCGCUGGACCUGAUGGAUGCGCUGUACGUGCUCCUGAAGAACUCGUUGCAGAACCGAGUCACGCCGCUGUCAGCCUUCCGCGACAACGUCGACACGUGCUGCCUCAACACCCUCAUCUGGCUAUGCGUCUUUUCCAUAGUGAACAUGGUCGCCGUGUGGAAGAAGCUGCGCUCCUCCACAGGAGAGCUGCGUCUGAAUGAGCUGAUUCAAUCCAGUGUAGCCGUAUCCAUUGAGGCCACUGUCUCGGCGCUGCGCGGCAAGCUCCGUGAGAGUGUGCAGCCGCCGAACACUGGCGCUGGCGGAGGUCUCCACGGCGGCGCGCUGACGGAUGCCCACCGCGGCGGUGGAGGAGAACGGCUGCUUGGAGGCAGUGGUGGCAGUCGGGCCGCCUCGUCCGCUUCAGCGGCCGUGUACACGUGGCAGGUUCUCGUCGACAGCUAUCUGAGCGUAUUGGCCUUGGCAGAAGGCUGCCUCCUCCGCGCCAAAGGGAGUGAGCAAGGCUACGACAAGGCUCUGGACGCCUUCCUCGGCGCCCGCAUGGCAUCGCUGUCAUCGCCUCACGCGGCCGCGACCCCUGCAAGCGUUGCGGUUCAUCGCGGCAAGGUUACGAAGCGUAUGGUGGAGCUGGCACCGGUUCCCCGCACCCUGUCCAUCCCUCUUGGUCUUCUCUAUAUUGCUCCGUACGAGAUGAUGUCCUAUCUCUUUGAUGAGAUGUUGCCGCUGCUCCGGCAUCUCUCGGAGCUGGAAGUCGCCACACACCGGCGCUAUUGCGAGCAGCUCGAGGAGCUUCCACGCCUGCCCUCGUUCGUGCGCGGCGGCAGCGCCGUGAACCGUGGCGGAAGCGUGGCGGCGCUGGAGGCGUACUACGGCUACCAGCAGCGCGGCGCAGUGCAGCACAGCCGCCCAGAGGAGACGAACGGCGAGGAAGCGUGGCUGCUGAAGGUGACACGUACCGGGGCUGCUGGUGAGGUGGUCGGGGAGCCGUUCACGUCCGAGAUGGCCCACCUGCUCGAGGCACUCGCGAUUUGCCUGCAGCACCUGCCACCAGAGGUGCUGAACCCUGACCUAGACUCCGACUGUGCGGCGACCUUCUUCAUCUUCAAGAAUUUUGUGAAGCACAUGCGGCAAGUCUUCGCCACGCAGCGCAGCAACGCGUCCUCGGCCGCCGUGGGCACCGGCGGUGGCGACAGCAGCGGCGCGAUCGGCGGCUUCGGCGCCGUGUGGGAGAACUACACGCUGAAGUUGAUGACCAAGUUUCUAGAGGUGAUGGCGAUGAUCGGCCGAAACCCGCAGUACACGCAGCGAGUUGUCGUGCUCCUCACGGAUGCGCAGACAGAGUGUGGCGAGAUGCAGUGGCACAGCUUGGUGAGUCAGGCGCUCGAGUGCGCUGGCUUGAACAGUGGCGUGAUUGGCGCCUCCGGGGCGGUGGGGAGCGACGGCGGCGCAGCUUCAGUCACGGCGUUGGCAGCGGCGGCGCAGAAGUCCUCUGGCGGGUCUGCGACGAGUGGCGCCGCCGAUGGUGACGACAUGUACGCGUUGUUGUCGACAGUGCCAGGCGUGAACGGGGUGCCGCGCGCGUUGCACCGGCAGUUCACCCGCGCCUACGCGCGCAAGUGUCAGCGCCACUACAUCGCCAGCUUUUUUCUGCUGCUGCGCCAGCUGUUUGGUCAUCCCACGCUGCGGCCCAUCGUAAGCGCUCACAUGAACCUCGCGCUCGCCCUGGCGUUUCUCUCGGCACCGCAGCAAAGUCAGGUGAUGCUGGGCAGCACACUGUCACUCAUCUCGGCCCUCAUCACGAAUGCGGCAGACGCGCAGCUCGUCUGGUCAUUUCUGGAGCAGCGCCGCCUGUUGCAGCAGUCGUCGGUGUGCACACAGCAGCGUACGCACGCAGGCGGCGGUAGCGCCAGCCCCGCCGUGUACGACCGCUUCACCGCGUCGUCGUCCGCGUCCGCCACCGGACAACGCGAGCCGGCGGUACAUGAGGAGGCGCUUUCCAUCAUCGGGCACUGCCAGUGCGAAUGCACGCAAGGCACCUACGACAUCACCAUUGGCUUCCUCAACCUUGCCACGGCUCUGUUCCAGCACGACCAGCCGUCCAUGGCGGCGCUGCCGGUGUACAACACAGUCACACACUUCAUCUCGCAUGAAAUGCUGCGCGGCGUUCUGAAACGCAUGUUUGCGCGGCCGCAUGAGCGGUACACGGUGAUGGCGCUGGCGUCUGCUGCGCUGCGGCAGGCGCUGCUCGUGCGCUUUCGGAGCAGCGAGAGCGCGCGCACGGCGGUGCUGCCUUUCGCCACCAUCAUGGCCAUCAACAAGGCCCCGACAGACGUGGUGGGCGAGGUGCUGAAGUUAAUUCUUGACGCAAGCGAUGCGCCGUACGAGCUGCUCAGUCACCACCGCGCUGCCGUGCGCCAGGCAAUGCGGCUGCUCAUCACGGCGAUCCAGGCAGCGCGAGAACAAAAGAUUGAGCUUCUACUGUUUGACAACCGCACAACUCUCAACACUGAUCUCGCCGUGCGCGUGCUGGGCAUGUGCUCUCUGCACGACACCCUCAUGACGAAGACCACCCUGCAGCUCUUAGUGUUGUUCCCUUUUGAUACGGCCAACCAGGCGGCGCAUUACUGGGCCGGGCUCACUCACAAGUACGCCGCAGUCCUGGACUCCUUUGCACAGCUCCUGCAUCCGCUGAACACUGCGCCAGUGGUGGUGCAGGCGCCGCCAGAGCUGGCGCAGCUCGACUUUGAACCGUCAGAGCUCGUCCCCGGGUGGUCUGCCGCGCUGCUUACGGAGACCAAGUCGCUUCUGCUUGACCUUCUCAUGCAGCACGCAGACGUGACGGAGCCGUCUCUGACCGCGUGGAUGGGCGGCUUUUAUGGUGAGGAGCUCUCUCGCCGCGACCGGUGGGGACAUCCAUCCGUCUCCGCAGCCGCGCAGGCGGCAUCCGCGCAUGGCGGCGCGGCAGACGGGGACGGCACCGCCGGCGAGCCUCGGUGGUGGCGCACCACCCUCCUCACCUCCGUCGUUGAGGGUGCCUGCGACUGCGAGGUUGAGCACGCGCAUCCGGCACUGGCCGUCAAGUACGUGAAGCUGCUUUACCUCCUGCGAGCCAACCGCCUCUACGGCUCCCUUGUCAUUCGUCCGUUUCUGGAGUCGGUCUGCCAGACACUGUUCCUGCGACUGCAGCACUACCGAGCCAGUCAGUGCACCCCGGUCGCACUCAGCAAGUACGCUUACGUGCUCAAACUCCUGGCACUGGAGGCGUGCUACACGUAUCGUACAGCCCCAGAGAGCCUCCGGCUUGCGCAAAACACGACCAUCACGUCCAUCGCGGUCGAGGUGCUGCUGUCGCUCCUCCACCCCUUUGGCAGCGGCAGCGGCGCCUUGGCGGGAGGGGGCGCCGCCGCGCCGAGCGACUGUGAAUACACCGCCAUGGAGGACAGCGGUGUUCGCAGUCUCCACGAGGUAGACGGCUACAACAGCGACACACAUGCGAGCGCACCGUCCAAAAGGGACACAGACGAGGGCAAGGAGCGUCAGUGGAACGGGGAUGUGGCAGUCAUGUCUCGCGACGCCGCCGUUGACAUUACGAGUUGGCUGCCACAGGCGCUCCAAGUGCUUCCGACUUUCCCAGAGAAGCUGCCCGCCGUCGCUGGAGGGCUGAGCCACCUGGUGCCCGCUGCGACAGACGGCGUCGUGCAGUAUGACAUGACGAGCCUUUAUAGCGCAAUCCAGGCGGAGCAGGCGCGCGCAAACAAGCCACCCAUGACCAUGUCUGAGCUGCGCGACCGGCUGCGCCCUUUCAUUGCCGCGAACGACUGUUUUUUCUCCUACGCGGCAGGCGUAAGCUUUGUGGAGGGCUGGUGCCAGCUGGUGAGUGUGUCGUGCUCUGUCGUGAAGGGCCUGUCGGUGUCACGACUGCGCUCGUUUGCCUUGUGCAUUCUACGAGGGCUGGACGCCACGACGCGGCUUACCGCAGCAGCCCAGGAGCAAGUGGCGGUUCGCUUGUGCCACUGCCUGUCCACCGUCAUGGCACACCUCCGGCAGACGGUCUGUGCGUCGGUGGCGCUGUCGCUCACGGUGCCGCAGAACGCAGAAGCGGAGGCGGCCUUGUACAACCAGUGCAGCGGGGACUAUCCUGGAGUGCAGGGAAGCGGCUGUGCACCGCUUGAUGCGGCACGCGCGACGUCGUAUCUACACGGCAGGUAUGAGCGUCGCACCGUACCACGCGUGUCAGCUCAGCCCAUGACGGUCACGACAGUGCCCGCCCAUGGCCGUGGCGGGGAGGGAGAGGUCAUAAUCGGGAAGCGCCGGCCGCGCGACGAGAGCCGCCACGUCACGCGUCAACAUUGGAGUGGUCAAGGUGGAGCGAUGCGAGGAAACGCGAGUGUCGGUAUCGGCAAGCCGUUCGCCACCCACGCGGGCGAGCUCACUAACUUCUUUAGCGCCGCAAACCGUUCGCAGCUGGCGCAGGCGCUGCUGCAGCAGCGCGGAGCAGAGCGCAGCGGUGCAGAGUCUGCUUCGGUGGCGGGUGAGCAGAGUACCACGCGCGCGUCUUGGAGUAGGUCGGGGGUGGCUGAUGCAACCUUGCUGUUGGAGCCGUUGGUGCGCGCGCUUGUGCAUUGGGGAACUCGCAUCGCGACGAUACGGGCAGAGUUGUACCUCAGUCUUCUGUGCCUCGCCGAGACACCCGGUGUCAACCUUGACGACGUGGCUGUGUGGCGUUUUCAGAGGGCGCUGCUUGACGUGGUGUGCACAGACAUCUGUAGCAGCAGCGGCUCGAGCGCCGGCGGACGCGGUGAGAGCUGCCGCAGUGAGAGCACGGUCGCCGUGCAGAGACACAAUGGCCUCAACGGCGCUGCGCCGGCGAACGGCAGCGACAGCGGCGCAGCCGCACUCCCGUUGCAGGCGCAGCAGGCGGUGGCGCUGCUGGUUGCACUGCUGCAGGCCUCCGCACCGAUUCGCGACGAGUUCUGCAACCCGGACGCCGGAAGCGGUGAUGGGCUCGGCAAGUGGGCGUUGCGGUGCGCAACGGCGCUUCUCCAGAGCGCCGACCAUGCAGUGUGUAACUUCUUUGCCAGCAACGGCGCGCAAGUGGGCGCACUGCUGUGGCACCUACGCAGCGCCUUUGACGUCGUCUCCGUCAUCUCCCUCAGUCACAGCUCGCAGGUGCUGCACAGCGGCCUGCUCCACUCGUGCCUCUCGAUGCGGGCAUGGCAGUACAGUACGCUGGUGGUGUUGGGCUACUCUCAGGCGAAUCCCUCCUUCGACGGGGUCCCGAGCAGGUCGCUCGUGGAGCAGAACAAGGAGGUGCUGCAGCACCUUCUGCUGGGUGUGGUGCGGUGGGUGAACCUGCUCCUCUCCUCCCUCGGCGACGCGGCGACGCUCUUGUACGACGUGCAAAAGUUCAUCCGUGAGAACCGGCAGCUGAUUGACCACGUCUUCAUCGCUCCGGCGGCCGUCAGCAGCACCAUCGCUGGAUCGGCGCGUCUCAGCGCGUCGCACCUGAAGCUGUGCGCGGAGCUAUCUGACUGCCUGCGCGCCCUCUCCUGCUCUGUGCUGGCGGUGGACUGCCGCAGUCUCGUUGAUGGCAUGGCGCUGGCCGAGUUGCUGAGUAUGCUGAGCAGCGACGACGUGUGGCGCCGCGGUCCGACAGAGCUGUACGGCUUCGCAGACGUCGACAGCGGGGAGGGCGGCUUGGGUGGUGCCGCUGGAGGCGCAUCCGUGGCCUCGCCAGCCGCGGCAGGAGCAGCGGUCCCAGAUCGAAACGACGACAACGGCAGAGAGGAUGUGAAGGGUGUUCUGGCAAAGUUGGCCGCGACGACUGGCACCGCCGCAGCGCACGCCGUCUCCGCGGCCGAACGCGGGCGCGAUGUCGUGGCGCUGACGGUGCGCAAUCUUGCCCAUCUGUUGCUUAACACCGAGUACGGACAGCGCAGCAGCGAGGAUGUCGGCGUCUUCAUCCCCUACGCCGACAGCACGCCGAUGCUCCGCCACUCUGCUGAGAAGCGGCAACUCGUCGCGAAAAUCGUCCGUCACGUCGCUCAGUCCCUAGUGCAGACAAGCACUUCAGAGGUGCGAGAGUUCCGCCUUGAGUGCUACCUGUACGCGCUGCACGCCAUGGUCUGCCUGCUGCACUCCUUUGUCCUUCCCAUGACACCCGCAGGGCCAUCGCAGAAGCAGUCGUCGUACCCCACCAGCCUGCCGGAAGAUUUUGUGCGCUAUCUAUCCGAGCUCCCGCUCGGCGAGUUCGCCGACACCCUUCGGCAGGCACAAGAAGCCGUCUAUCAGCUGCGCGAAUUCAACACCGACUACCGUGGCGGGCUUCGCGCGAGUCGGGUGGCCGCAAACGCCUGGGUCAUUGGUGCCUCCUCUGCUGGGCCGCACACGCUCAGCAACAGCGCGCUCGUUGCCAAUGCCAGCGGCGCUGCCAGCACCGCAGAUCAGAGAGCGACCGUGUCGUCUACACCUUCCAACGCGCCAUCCUCUCCGCCGGCAACAGUACAUGGUGGGGGCGGCAUCUCCGACGCCUUCAACAUGCCAUCGACGCCGGGAUUGUUGCCUGCAGCUGAUGGUCGCUUGGGCGGGCGCGACAUUGAGACGGGGCCGCAGUCCUCAGCUGCGGCGGAGCUCGCCCCGGCGUCGUCUGCUCGGCACAAGUCGCAUUCCGGCGGCCCGCUUUCCUCGACCGCGGCAAGUCACAGUGGAGAAACUGGACAGGACCCGAACACGACGGUGGCGUUCGACCUCGAUGGGUCCUCUUCCCGUCCCCCGCAUGCGCAGGGACAGAAUGACGCGAGUGCUCGUCCCGGUGCGGCGUCGGCUGCGAGCAACAUCCAGGCUCCCCUACUGCCCGCCAUGGCAGAUGGGGCGAAGCUCGACCCGGACGUUACACUCUGGGAGCUGCUGCCGGAGCGCGGUGGCGCAUAUGAGGGUGAAUGGACCCGGCUGUACGACUCGGCUACGGCGCACGAUGUCCGGGGCACGGUCGUGGGCGGUGGCAUGGACUCUGUUGGCAUACACAGUGCGCCACUGCAGUGGAAGGACGUGCUGAACGUCGAAAACGAAGUGCGGCAGGUGAAGAUCGCGAUCGCCAACGCGCUUCGGGCAACGACUGGGGCAAUGAGUAUCGUGCGAAAGCACGCGUAGAGGGCGUGUCUCACCCGUGGCGAUACCGUAGGUAGGGGGGAUCAUCUGUGUAUGUGCAUAUGUGUGUGUGUGUGUGGGUUUGGUCUUUGUAUGGUGAAGAUUACCCUACGCCGCCAUGGUAUGUGUUUUAUGGCUUGGCAUGCUGAAUACCCUACUUCGCUUUCCGUCAGCCAAGGCUGGGCGGCCGCUAUUGGGGAUCCCGGCGGUUGGACGCAAACGAGCAGUGCGGGCAGAGAGCCAAGGACGGCAGCGGAAUGACCCCUCACCCACCCACCCCGGGCCCUCUCCCCCUCGCGGAGCGUUACUUUGUUUCGUAUAUCUAUAUGUGUGUGUUUGUGUGUUAUAUCAGUAUUGUUGUCGCGGCAGUGGGGGUGGUUGGCCGCUCUCUUUCUCUCUCUCUCUCUCUCUCGUGAUAACGUAGUAAAGCGUCUCCAUAGAGUCCACCUCUCGC